UACGUAGGUGGCAAGCGUUGUCCGGAGUUAUUGGGCGUAAAGCGCGCGCAGGCGGUGCGGUAAGUCUCUGGUGAAAGCGCUCGGCUUAACUGGGCGAGGGCCGGGGAGACUGCCACGCUGGAGGGGAGCAGAGGCGAGUGGAAUUCCUGGUGUAGCGGUGAAAUGCGCAGAUAUCAGGAGGAACACCGGUGGCGAAGGCGGGUCUCUGGGCCGAUACUGACGCUGAGGAGCGAAAGCGUGGGGAGCGAACAGG
rnacentral:rRNA from 1 species